UACGUAGGGGGCAAGCGUUGUCCGGAUUUAUUGGGCGUAAAGAGCGUGUAGGCGGCCUGGUAGGUCAGCUGUGAAAACUCGAGGCUCAACCUCGAGACGCCGGUUGAAACCAUCAGGCUAGAGUCCGGAAGAGGAGAGUGGAAUUCCCGGUGUAGCGGUGAAAUUCGUAGAUAUUCGCAAGAACACCAGUGGCGAAGGCGGCUCACUGGCCCGAUACUGACGCUGAGGUGCGAAAGCGUGGGGAGCAAACAGG
rnacentral:rRNA from 1 species